UUAACUGGAACUCAGCUGCACAUAGAAGCUUUAUGCUGGGGGAUCUCUCUAAGAGGCAGGAUGAAACAGUGCCUGUCCCAAAGAACUUACAAGAGAGGAUGCUGGUCUCAUGCAGACAUUCAAGUUGAGGUGUCUGCUCAGCUGGCUCUUCACUGGGUGAAACAAGAUGAAAGGUCCUUUGCCGCUGCCUGGUGUUGCCUUUCAUGGAGCUCUCCAGCACAGCUCUUUCCAAAAGUUGCAGGGCACACAGGGGCCGUGUAAGGCAUAGUUUCUGCUGCUCUCCCAUGGACACAGACAAACACACUUUCAGUGCCAUACACCUACAGGAGGAACUUCAGGAGCACUCCUUAAGGUGAUUAAUCUCCUGGCAGAGCAUUCAGAGCAGGAUAAUAUACAGAGUGAUAUGGAGCAAUUGAAGCUGAUGUUGACUUAGCCCCAAUACCAAAUCGAUGCCAAAGUACAUGACUUCUGAUUUGCUUUCUAAUAUAUCAAUAAAGGCUACAGGAUGAAAUGCAUCCUGGCGUUUGAAUGGAAUUUAACAACUACCUCAGCAUUGUGGUAUCUCACUAUAGAGAGCUGAAUUUCACCCAGAGAGCACACACUGAUGCGUGCAAUAUUCUGCCUUGGGCUUUUAAAGACCAUUUCCAAGCACUGCUGAGACAGACUUUCUUUGGACUUACAGAAACAUAUGCUGCCUGUGCUGAUGCACGAUAAAUCAUUGUUCACUAAUAUUCCAUGGCUUUUCAUAUUGGGGAAGGAUUCUGGAAAGCAGAUGAGACAGAAGAAUUUACUUACGAGAAAGGUGUGAGAUGCAAGAUGGGAAAUAAUUCCAGAAAGUCAGA